rnacentral:lncRNA from 1 species
UUGGUCAUUCUCGACUGGUUACAGUGAUUUGAUUGCAUCAAAAAGGUACAAUCACUCUAUUGGUAUUAGAUAUCCUGGAAUAAAGAUGGGGUUGGGCCCAGUAACUGUUAAGUGAGGAUCUCAAUGAUGGCUUUGCACUUGCUGGUGAAUGAUGGGUCUGACUUAAUUAAGAAAUAUGUCAAUAACUAUUAAGUGAGGCCACAGGACUUAGAGACCGAAUCCACUG